ACUAGAUGGGCCGAAUGGUUCUUAUCUGCCGUCACAUUCUAUGUUUCUAUGUUUCUAUGUUUCUGGGAUGUAGUGUGUAUGUGUGUAGGUUAUGUAGUGUGUCUGUGUGUGUGUGUGUAGGUUAUGUAAUGUGUGUGUGUGUGUGUGGGAUGUAGUGUGUAUGUUUGUAGGAAACAGUGUGUGUAU